GGGUGCUAACGUCCGUCGUGAAGAGGGAAACAACCCAGACCGCCAGCUAAGGUCCCAAAGUCAUGGUUAAGUGGGAAACGAUGUGGGAAGGCCCAGACAGCCAGGAUGUUGGCUUAGAAGCAGCCAUCAUUUAAAGAAAGCGUAAUAGCUCACUGGUCGAGUCGGCCUGCGCGGAAGAUGUAACGGGGCUAAACCAUGCACCGAAGCUGCGGCAGCGACGCUGAUGCGUUGUUGGGUAGGGGAGCGUUCUGUAAGCCUGUGAAGGUGGCCUGUGAGGGUUGCUGGAGGUAUCAGAAGUGCGAAUGCUGACAUAAGUAACGAUAAAGCGGGUGAAAAGCCCGCUCGCCGGAAGACCAAGGGUUCCUGUCCAACGUUAAUCGGGGCAGGGUGAGUCGACCCCUAAGGCGAGGCCGAAAGGCGUAGUCGAUGGGAAACGGGUUAAUAUUCCCGUACUUGGUGUUACUGCGAAGGGGGGACGGAGAAGGCUAUGUUGGCCGGGCGACGGUUGUCCCGGUUUAAGCGUGUAGGUGUGUGUUCCAGGUAAAUCCG
rnacentral:rRNA from 1 species